rnacentral:rRNA from 1 species
GGAUUGCNUCAGUAACGGCGAGUGAAGCGGCAACAGCUCAAAUUUGAAAUCUGACCCCUUCGGGGCCCGAGUUGUAAUUUGUAGAGGACGCUUCGGGUGCGGCGUCGGUCUAAGUUCCUUGGAACAGGGCGUCAUAGAGGGUGAGAAUCCCGUAUGCGACCGGCGACCAACCCCAUGUGAAGCCCCUUCGACGAGUCGAGUUGUUUGGGAAUGCAGCUCAAAAUGGGUGGUAAAUUUCAUCUAAAGCUAAAUACCGGCCAGAGACCGAUAGCGCACAAGUAGAGUGAUCGAAAGAUGAAAAGCACUUUGGAAAGAGAGUCAAACAGUACGUGAAAUUGUUGAAAGGGAAGCGCUUGCAACCAGACCUGCCCGCGGGCGAUCAGCCGUUAUUCUUAGCGGUGCACUCGCCCGCGAUCAGGCCAGCAUCGGUUCGGGCGGCCGGAUAAAGGCCCCGGGAAUGUAGCUCCCUCCGGGGAGUCUUAUAGCCCGGGGUGCAAUGCGGCCAGCCCGGACCGAGGACCGCGCUUCGGCUAGGAUGCUGGCAUAAUGGUUGUAAGCGACCCGUCUUGAAACACGGACCAAGGAGUCUAACAUCUAUGCGAGUGUUUGGGUGUCAAACCCAUGCGCGGAAUGAAAGUGAACGGAGGUGGGAACCCGCGAGGGCGCACCAUCGACCGAUCCAGAUGUCUUCGGAUGGAUUUGAGUAGGAGCAUAGCUGUUGGGACCCGAAAGAUGGUGAACUAUGCCUGAAUAGGGUGAAGCCAGAGGAAACUCUGGUGGAGGCUCGCAGCGGUUCUGACGUGCAAAUCGAUCGUCAAAUUUGGGUAUAGGGGCGAAAGACUAAUCGAACCAUCUAGUAGCUGGUUCCUGCCGAAGUUUCCCUCAGGAUAGCAGUAACGUUUUCAGUUUUAUGAGGUAAAGCGAAUGAUUAGAGGCCUUGGGGUUGAAACAACCUUAACCUAUUCUCAAACUUUAAAUAUGUAAGAAGUCCUUGUUACUUAGUUGAACGUGGACAUUUGAAUGCACCGUUACUAGUGGGCCAUUUUUGGUAAGCAGAACUGGCGAUGCGGGAUGAACCGAACGCGAGGUUAAGGUGCCGGAAUGCACGCUCAUCAGACACCACAAAAGGUGUUAGUUCAUCCAGACAGCCGGACGGUGGCCAUGGAAGUCGGAAACCGCUAAGGAGUGCAUUUUUUAUUUAUUUAAAUUUAACGUGGCAGCACCCAUUGUACAAACGUUGUUACAUGCUCCUAAGAGAUAUCUCUAGGGUAUCUAGAGCGAAAAGAAAAGGUUGAUCAAGAGAAAUCCUCUUGAAUUUAUCAACCUUUUCUUUUUUUUACUCGAUCGUUCAAAAAUCGUGGAAAUGUCGAUCGAAUCACAAGUUCGGACAGCAUAUCGCGAGCCUAUUCGAUAUCAUUUGCGAGUAUUCAAUAGGUCCACAGACUAAACUGAACGGGACUCUGCGAGUCUCUGAUAUAGUCGAGUCCACGUCCGAAAGGAAGUGGCGUGAGGAAUAUUCUCGACGAAUUCUCGUGUUUUCAAAUGAACAUGAAAAACAGUCGACGGCAUUCCUUGCUCUCACGGUGUAACAACUCACCGGCCGAAUGAACUAGCCCUGAAAAUGGAUGGCGCUCAAGCGUGCUACCCAUACCUCGCCGCCAGGGUAGAAACGAUGCCCU